rfam:Triticum aestivum genome assembly, contig: Triticum_aestivum_CS42_TGACv1_scaffold_577697_7BL
AAAGUACUCCCUCCGUCCCAAAAUUCUUGUCUUAGAUUUGUCUAAAUAUGGAUGUAUCAAGUCAUGCUUUAGUAUUAGAUACAUCCGUAUCUAGGCAAAUCUAAGACAAGAAUUUUGGGACGGAGGUAGUAUCUC